rnacentral:rRNA from 1 species
ACCCCUGUGAGAAUGCCCAGUCAGUUUCCUGCCCGGAAACAAGGAGCCGGUAUCAGGCACAACAUUAUUUUAAGCCCACGACGCCUUGCUUAGCCACACCCUCAAGGGAACUCAGCAGUGAUAAAUAUUAAGCCAUGAGUGAAAACUUGACUUAGUUAAAGUUAAGAGGGCCGGUAAAACUCGUGCCAGCUACCGCGGUUAUACGAGAGGCCCAAGUUGAUAGACGCCGGCGUAAAGCGUGGUUAAGACUCAAGAACACUAAAGCCGAACGCCCUCAGAGCUGUUAUACGCAUCCGAAGGUAAGAAGUUCAAUUACGUAAGUAGCUUUAUUUUUCUGACCCCACGAAAGCCAAGGCACAAACUGGGAUUAGAUACCCCACUAUGCUUUGCCCUAAACAUUGAUAGUACAACACACCAACUAUCCGCCCGGGAACUACGAGCACGAGCUUAAAACCCAAAGGACUUGGCGGUGCUUUAGAUCCACCUAGAGGAGCCUGUUCUAGAACCGAUAACCCCCGUUCAACCUCACCUUUCCUUGUUAAUAACC